rnacentral:rRNA from 1 species
UACGUAGGGUGCAAGCGUUGUCCGGAAUUAUUGGGCGUAAAGAGCUCGUAGGCGGUCUGUCGCGUCGGAUGUGAAAACCCAGGGCUCAACCCUGGGCCUGCAUUCGAUACGGGCAGACUAGAGUGUGGCAGGGGAGACUGGAAUUCCUGGUGUAGCGGUGAAAUGCGCAGAUAUCAGGAGGAACACCGGUGGCGAAGGCGGGUCUCUGGGAAACAACUGACGCUGAGGAACGAAAGCGUGGGUAGCAAACAGG